GAUGAACGCUGGCGGCGUGCUUAACACAUGCAAGUCGAACGUGAUCCAUUAGCAAUAGUGGUGAAAGUGGCGAACGGGUGAGUAACACGUAGAUAACCUACCCUGAAGCGGGGGAUAACGAUUGGAAACGGUCGCUAAUACCGCAUGAGCCUAUUGAAGCGGGAGUGAGAUAGGGAAAUUACAGGUGCUUUAGGCGGGGUCUGCGUCCGAUUAGCUAGUUGGUGAGGUAACGGCUCACCAAGGCGACGAUCGGUAGCUGGUCUGAGAGGACGAUCAGCCACACGGGGAACUGAGACACGGUCCCGACUCCUACGGGGGGCGAGCAGUGAGGAAUAUUGGGCAAUGGGCGGAAGCCUGACCCAGCAACGCCGCGUGGAGGAUGAAGGCCUUCGGGUCGUAAACUACCUUUGUACGGGGAAGGAAGGAAGGACGGUACCCGUCGAAUAAGU
rnacentral:rRNA from 1 species